AGGCAGCAGUGAGGAAUAUUGGUCAAUGGGCGCNAGCCUGAACCAGCCACGUCGCGUGAAGGAAGACGGCCCUACGGGUUGUAAACUUCUUUUGCAAGGGAAUAAAGUUGUCCACGCGUGGCNUUUUGCAUGUACCUUACGAAUAAGGAUCGGCUAACUCCGUGCCAGCAGCCGCGGUAAUACGGAGGAUCCGAGCGUUAUCCGGAUUUAUUGGGUUUAAAGGGUGCUCAGGCGGGUGANUAAGUCGGCGGCGAAAUUUUGCGGCUCAACCGUAAANGUGCCUUCGAAACUGUUUUCCUUGAGUGUGGAUGAGGUAGGCGGAAUUUGUGGUGUAGCGGUGAAAUGCAUAGAUAUCACGAGGAACUCCGAUUGCGCAGGCAGCUUACUGAGCCAUNACUGACGCUCAAGCACGAAAGGCGUGGGGAUCAAACAGGAUUAGAUACCCCUGGUAGUCCCACC
rnacentral:rRNA from 1 species